GGAGGAAGGUGGGGAUGACGUCAAGUCCUCAUGGCCCUUAUAGGUGGGGCUACACACGUCAUACAAUGGCCGUGACAAGGGUUGCCAACCCGCGAGGGGGAGCCAAUCCCACAAAGCCGGUCGUAGUCCGGAUCGCAGUCUGCAACUCGACUGCGUGAAGUCGGAAUCGCUAGUAAUCGCGGAUCAGCAUGUCGCGGUGAAUACGUUCCCGGGUCUU
rnacentral:rRNA from 1 species